UUUUACAAUGAAGAGUUUGAUCCUGGCUCAGGAUGAACGCUAGCUACAGGCUUAACACAUGCAAGUCGAGGGGCAUCAGGAAGAAAGCUUGCUUUCUUUGCUGGCG
rnacentral:rRNA from 1 species